AUACUUACCUUAAGAUGCCAGUGGAGAUCAAGAAGUCCACUUGGCCAAGUAUGUCUUCCAACUGCAGGGGGAUGCUAGGCAUUUAGGUAGGGAAAGAGGGAGAAUGACCUGUUUUCUUUGCAUUUGGCAAUUUUUGCCAGUUGUUUGAUUCCAGUUUCUUUCUCUUCUUUUUUUCUCUACACAUCAAUUGAUGUAAGCUCCCCAGUCUACUACCCAUACAAAUAUUAGCGGAAGGUGUUCUUGCUGACGUUUCGUUCCCUUGUUUUCUCUAAUUCUGUCAGGAACCGAUUCGUUCUGGUAAGGAGUUUGGGAGAGUAUUUUCGAAUGCCCUCUCUAUUUUUUUCCGGAGUGUUUAUGGAUCUUGGCAGCUUAUUGAAAACCCUUUUUCCCUUCUGCCUGGAGAAGUAUGGCACCGAUCACAAAUCGGUGCUAGGGGAGUUGGGAUUGUUCUUUUUUUGUGGAAGACUUCUUCGAUUCUGCUUUAUAAAUGAUUUUUCACGACUGAGGAUACGGCGAAGUCUUGAUUUACGAGGCAUUCUUGACUGAUCCGGGUCCGUCUUAUGAUGGAUCCAGGAGGUUCUAAAGUCGCUGCUUUGUUUGUCGCCAUGGCUUUGUUGUUUUCUUCUGUUGCGGAUUUUUGGCGCAGUGUUCGGUGGUUAUUUUACAUUUAUUUGUGGAAUUGCCGUUGGGUGUUGUGCUGAAGUCAUUGAGUCGGAGAACAGUCCAUUAGUUCCAUAAAUUUUUAAUUGUGGAUUCUCUUUGGAUGGGAAAUUCCUCGUUCAAUCCUGAUAGGAACGGGUGGAUCUUAUAAUUUUUGAUUUAUUC
rnacentral:snRNA from 1 species